UAUUACUAAACUAGUAGUAGUGAAACAUUUUUGACAAACAUAACACAAAAUAACAGAUAACUUGCAUGAAUUAUGUUUAACACACACAUGUUGCUUUUCAGACUGUUUGCUGCUGCUCUUUCUCCCCCUGACUUCUGACCCUGGCUCACUUUGAUGACAUCAUGACUACUUCUGAGACAUACGAGGGGAAACAGCGGCCGCUUACUCAGACCAGCUGCAAUGGACAGACUGGAAGUUGUUCUGCACAAAAGAAGCCAGACCCAGAACAAAGCAACACCUUGGUCCCGACUGAGCGCGCGUCAGGGUUUCCCAACCAGGGGUGCAGGGACCCAUGGGGGCAUGCGAACAAGAGUUUUGGAGGGUCCGUGUGAACUGCUGGCACGAGUAUGGCGGAGGCUUCGGAAUCGCUGGAGAAUCUCAUCGAGAACCGCAUCCACAGCCUCCAAAACCGGCGCUUCUUUUUGCAGCAGAUGCAGGAGAGGAUCAGGAGAGCGGAGGGGCGAGAAGGCGACACGGGGCACAGUAAGGCACAAGUCGAGCAGUAAACAUAUUUACACCUUUAGCUUUAUGUACAGACUCUGAAAUCAUGUGGAUUUACAAAUGUAGUUUGUAACAGAGUUGGGGCGGGAGUAGCACUGUUGGUGGGUCAUCCAAGCUGCUGAAUCAGAAGGUCGGUGGAUCGAACCCGGCUCCCACCAGUGCUGUUGUUGUGUCCUGAAGCAAGACAGAUCGCCUGCUUUGCCUUCCGUGUCUGAGUGAAUGGGCGUCUUACGUAA
rnacentral:lncRNA from 1 species